GAUGAAGAACGCAGCGAAAUGCGAUAAGUAAUGUGAAUUGCAGAAUUCAGUGAAUCAUCGAAUCUUUGAACGCACCUUGCACCCUUUGGCAUUCUGAAGGGUAUGCUCGUUUGAGUGUCAUUGUACUCUCACACUCCCGAUCUUUGCAUUGGGAGCAGUGGACUUGGGUUUGCUGCUUCACCGUCGCUUACCUCAAAUAGGUUAGUGCAACUCUUGGUUGGACAUAGUACGGCGUGAUAAGUGUUCUUCGCCGGUGCCUCGCAAAGAGGGUGGCCGAUCGGGAUGUUGUGCUCCAAACCGUCUUCGGACAACAACUGACAACUUGACCUCAAAUCGAGUAGGACCACCCGCUGAACUUAAGCAUAUCAAUAAGCGGAGGA
rnacentral:misc_RNA from 1 species